GGAGAGGUGUCAGAGUGGCCGAUUGUACAUCUUUGCUAAAGAUGUGUACCGCAAGGUACCGAGGGUUCGAAUCCCUCCCUCUCCG
rnacentral:tRNA from 2 species